AUGGUGGUGACUCAUAUUCACUAUGUGUUUGCUGAAGGUGCCCUGCCUCCUCUUCUGCCCCUUCCCCCAGGGCUGGGAUUCCCACAGAGAUGAGGGGAGGGCAAAAUCAUCAAAGAACAAGGGCGGGAGGCAGCCAACAAGCCCCAGGCUAUGAACCGGACACGCUGCAGAGAUGGCCCCUGCUUCUGAGAGCCAGCACUCCACACUUACAAAAGCCCUGUCCUUCACAGUUAUAUAAAGAAGCAAAAUCAAAUCAGAAGACCUCCAGAUGACCCAUUUCUUGCUGAGUGCUUAUUUCAAUGAUGGUAAGAUGAUUACAAUAUGGUGAUAUAAUCAUGUGUUAAGUGAUGAUACUAAGAAAGUUUGCUGCUUUUCUGUAUAAAUUCUUUCUCAGACAAUUCUAGAAAAGAUAUUAGCAUAAAAGCAUGCAGGGACACAAAGAUCAACUUUUCAAUGAUGCUUAGAACUUUCCCAGUUCUAAGAUGAAAGAAGACAAUUCUUAGAAUUCUCCCUUGAGUGUUUUUUGUCUCCUUUAGAUUUCCCAAGGCUCUGCCCCACUUAUUGGAUAAGUAAAAGAUUCGAUUCAAUUAGUUUCAUCCUUCCCCAGUCUAAUCUCUGCUGUCUGGUUGGCCUCUUUGAGAGACUGACCUAGCAUCAAGAGGACUGAAUUCACCGUAAAAUUCUGAUUCUUCCACUUCCUUGUCAUGGGACCUUGGAGGUGUCUCUUGAUUGCUCUGAGCCUCAGUUGCUUUAGCAGAGAAUCAAAUGAAUUAAUGAAUGUGAAAAUCCAUGAAAGGCAGAAAGUACUAGUGGUUGUAAGAAAAAUGGAAGUGGCCAGCCACGGUGGCUCACGCCUGUAAUCCCAGCACUUUGGGAGGCCGAGGCAGGAGGAUCACCAGGUCAGGAGUUCAAGACCAGCCUGGCCAACAUGAUGAAACCCUGUCUCUACCAAAAUAUAAAACAUUAGCCGGGUGUGGUGGCAUGCACCUGUAAUCUCAGCUACUCGGGAGGCUGAGGCAGGAGAAUUGCUUGAACCUGGGAGGCAGAGGUUGCAGUGAGCCAAAAUUGUGCCACUGCACUCCAGCCUGGGCAACACAGUGAGACUCGGUCUCAAAAAACAAACAAACAAACAAACAAAGAAAAAAGAAAAAAUGAAAACUGGAAGCCCCACUUACUUCUCAGCACCUACUGUGUGCCUGACACUGAGCAGUACUCAUAGUAUAACAAUAACAGAUUUUAAUCAUGCUUGUCAGCUUCUCCCUCGUCUUCAAAGUGCCUAGCACCAUGUCUAGCACAUAACAGGUGUGUUGAUCUGUCGGUUCAAGGAGAGGUAAGAACCAUUCUGUUUGCAGACUCUCCCACCUUUUGUGUAGUGAUCACCUGAGUUAACUUGAAAAUUAUCUGUCUCCAGGUAGCAAAUGGUUCUGGUACACCUCUUCAUGGGAAUCCCUGCAAUUUUUGCAGAGAAAUAUGCAUCCCUUUUGGUGGGCUAACAUCAAGGGAAACUGGAAACUGACCAUGUAGAAGCUUCUCCCUACCUAAUCCCUGAGAUUUGUAAAGAGAGCUCCGAGAGAGCAUUCAUUAUUUCUCAAACUUCCCUUAUAAGAAUUACCUGAAUUACUUGUUAAAAACAUAUAC
rnacentral:lncRNA from 10 species